GACGUAGGGGGCCAGCGUUGUUCGGAAUUACUGGGUGUAAAGGGUUCGUAGGCGGUGUGGCAAGUCGGGAGUGAAAUCUCUGGGCUCAACCCAGAGACUGCUUCCGAAACUGCUGUGCUUGAGUGUGAGAGAGGCUCGUGGAAUUGCAGGUGUAGCGGUGAAAUGCGUAGAGUAUCUGCAGGAACACCCGUGGCGAAAGCGGCGAGCUGGAUCACUACUGACGCUGAGGAACGAAAGCUAGGGGAGCAAACAG
rnacentral:rRNA from 1 species